rnacentral:rRNA from 1 species
CCUACGGGAGGCUGCAGUGGGGAAUAUUUGACAAUGGGGGGAACCCUGAUCCAGCCAUGCCGCGUGUGUGAAGAAGGCCCUCGGGUUGUAAAGCACUUUCAGUGAGGAAGAACGCCUGGUGGUUAAUACCCAUCAGGAAAGACAUCACUCACAGAAGAAGCACCGGCUAACUCCGUGCCAGCAGCCGCGGUAAUACGGAGGGUGCGAGCGUUAAUCGGAAUUACUGGGCGUAAAGCGCGCGUAGGUGGCUUGAUAAGCCGGUUGUGAAAGCCCCGGGCUCAACCUGGGAACGGCAUCCGGAAAGGUCAAGUUAGGGUGCAGGAGAGGAAGGUAGAAUUCCCGGUGUAGCGGUGAAAUGCGUAGAGAACGGGAGGAAUACCAGUGGCGAAGGCGGCCUUCUGGACGGACACUGACACUGAGGUGCGAAAGCGUGGGUAGCAAACAGGAUUAGAUACCCGAGUAGUC